rnacentral:rRNA from 1 species
GAUGAACGCUGGCGGCGUGCCUAAUACAUGCAAGUCGAGCGAACAGACGAGGAGCUUGCUCCUCUGACGUUAGCGGCGGACGGGUGAGUAACACGUGGAUAACCUACCUAUAAGACUGGGAUAACUUCGGGAAACCGGAGCUAAUACCGGAUAACAUGUUGAACCGCAUGUUCAACAGUCAAAGACGGUCUUGCUGUCGCUUAUAGAUGGAUCCGCGCCGCAUUAGCUAGUUGGUAAGGUAACGGCUUACCAAGGCAACGAUGCGUAGCCGACCUGAGAGGGUGAUCGGCCACACUGGAACUGAGACACGGUCCAGACUCCUACGGGAGGCAGCAGUAGGGAAUCUUCCGCAAUGGGCGAAAGCCUGACGGAGCAACGCCGCGUGAGUGAAGAAGGUCUUCGGAUCGUAAAACUCUGUUAUUAGGGAAGAACAAAUGUGUAAGUAACUAUGCACGUCUUGACGGUACCUAAUCAGAAAGCCACGGCUAACUACGUG